AUAAAUUUGGAUAUUUUCUUCUUCUUCAUCUUACACUAAAGUUUUUGAUAAAAUUUGCCAACACAAAAUGAAGGUUCUUCUCAUUAUUUUGGUUUUGCUUAUCACUAUUUCAAUGAUAAGUGCUAAACCUCUCAUUGGUUCAACAACUUGUCCUGUGCCUAGAAGUAGAUGUGGACAGGCAUGCAUUAAGAGAUGCUCACAUAAAGGUCACAAAAAGAGAUGUUUGUUUUAUUGCAACCAUUGUUGUGGAUGGUGCCAAUGUGUUCCCCCAGGAUAUGUUGGGCAAAAUAAAGGGUGUUGUUCUUGCUACAACAAUUGGAAGACACAAAUAGGAGGACCUAAGUGUCCAUGAAAUUAAAUUAAUCAUGGAAGUAAAUGGUGUAUCGGAGAAAUUUUAGUAGUUCAAUUGGUUGGGUUUUUAAAUUUUUACUUUGUUGUUGACAGUUCGAUUCGCCAUCUUGUAAUUCCCUACCCUAUUGUGUCGGUUUUAUGUUUAUUUUUCUUCAUUUGAUCUUCUUGAGAAAGUGUUUUUUUCCUAUAGUAGGAUUGGGAGAGAUUCUUUCUCUUUACAAGAGCCAAGACUGUAUGAGGAGAAAAAGAGGGUUCUUUUUACCUUUUCCCUUGCGGUACUUGUACGCUAUUCAUCAUUGAGGAAGGACUUCUAUGUGUUGUAUUUGUAUGUUUUCCAUGUAUUGUUAAAAUCAAGAAUCAAUAUUUCUUGAUUAUGUUUUCUGUU